UGACAUCUAAUUUUUAGACAAUUCUUUCUAUUCUUAACAUUAAAGUGCGUUUAAUGUUAAUUCACACAUCUAAUCGUCUACAUUGUAUACGAGAUGAACAGUUAACGAUGUAGCGAGUUUGACCCAUUCACGACAGAAAAGGAGCGUAUGUACAAUGAAAAGACAUACAAUGAUGACCCAUACUGUACAAAAUCAUAAUAUUAUCAUUUUAUUAUUACGCUCAGGACUGGAGCUUUAGUAGCAAUAUUACUAAACGCUUAAGUCCUAUUUCUAGUUGAAUGGGACUUACAAG
rnacentral:sRNA from 1 species